CUACUAUUAACUUAAACAUCAGCAGCCACCAUGAGCUCGUAUUCCUCAGCUGCAGGAGGACAUAAAGGUAAUAAGGAGGCAGCCAGCCUUGGGAAGCAGAAUCAGACAACAUCAUUCAUCAUCAAAGAAAUGUACAUUGAAACCACAAUAACCUACCAAGCCAUACUUGUUAGAAUGACAGUGACCAAAAAAAGAAAGGAAACAACUGCGGUGAGGAUGUGGUGAAAAGGAUAUUUGCAUACUGUAGCUGGGAAUGUAAGCAAGGGAAGCCAUUGUGGAAAACAAGAUAGAAAUUCCUCAUGAUAUUAAAGACAAUCAUCCUAUGGUCCAGCAAUUCUAUUAUCAGUUACAUAUACAAAUGUGAAAUCAAUAAAUCAAGAGACAAAUAUAAGCA